AGGAGUUGCCCCCGAGAUCGGACACUGGAGAGCAGGCGUCUUCUGUCGCGUAAAGUAAGGCCGGUCUCCGGCCACCUGGCGGGGCGGAUGACAACAGCGUCCUUGUAGGCAGGCUGGCUGGAGUGUCGGGCUUCAGGAGACGCGGAGGGGAACCGGAGUAGAGAUAUAUGAGCUUUUUGAAAGCAGAACACUGUUGUUUCCAUGUUCUGAUCAUUCAGAGAUUGUGAAGGCACAGUUCCUGCCUUUUAUUUGCUUACAGUCAAGCGGAGUAGACACAGGUCAUGGUGGCAGUAUAGCCCCUUAAGUAUUCUGAAGGAGAUUUAUCAGCAGGUUGCAGGUGAACAUGGCCUUGAGGUGGAGUCAUUUACUCUGCAUCUUGACUGGUAAGCAUGAAAAUGCUGUGUGUGCAGAGCUUUAAGUGGCAACUGGAAACUUGAACUGGAGAACCAGAAAUGCAGCCAAGGGAGCUGGGCAUCGAGGUCACAAAAUCGCAUGAGAGCAGUGAGGCAGGAUGCCCAAAGGUGCUGGCUGGAGACCACCUCUUCUACCAGGGCUCAGCUUUGCACUUGGUGGACUGAUAUUUUCUCUUAAAAGAUUGUUGUGCAUUUGCUAUAUGUCAUACACUGUUAUGCAUUCUCAUGUUUGUCAUUAAAUCUCCCAUCCUAUAAGACAUCCUAUAAGAGAAACAGAAGCUCAGGGAGAUAAUGUGACUUUUCAAUGGUUGUAAGGCAAAGUCGCUACAAAAUAGCAAUCAAACUCAGGUCUUCUGAUUUCAAAUCUGGUUCUCUUUGCAUUAUAGGACAGUUCCUAGAAUCAGUUGCAACUAAUGUUGUCUAUUUUUUACCAGACCUUAGCCCCCCUACCCCAAACGUGCACAUAGUGAAAGCAACACAUUUAUUAUUAUUUAUGUGGAGGCUGCUGUGUGACACCAGGAAGCAUGUAGUAGUAGGUAAUGUUGCAUUUUUACCAGUCUUGCCAUCUAGCCACAGUUGCCCCUCUCUUCCUUCAUACUGCCUCCCCUCAGGUUUGUCCCUCUCCUGCCAUAGGUCUUCUGCUAUAGUUUGAACAAGCCCUGCCAUCCCUCACAUGGAGAGCAGUGAGAGGCCGAAGAGCAGUGGCUGGAUGAAACAAAUAUUUGGUGUGCACGUGUUAGCCCUUGGGGAUUGAGUGAUGAACAAGACAGAUACUGUCCUGCCUUCAUGGAAUUAGGUGUUACAAAGAUCAUUUCAAAAUUAAAGGGGGUAAGUACCAUGAGGGAGAGGAGCAGGUUUUUAGAAACAGUGUUCGGUGGGAGAAACCUCACCGGAGUGCCACUGACUGCUGGGAAAACAGGAGAGGAGAAGGCUGCUGAGCACGGCACGUGGCUUCCCUGGUUCUCUUUGUGGGUGGCCUCCUGCCUUCUUACGCCUGUUCUUGGCUGACUAAUGAAAUGUCACAAGUGCUGGGGUGGCUGGAGCCACUAACACUUAUGUAUCUCUUCCCUCCUUCUCCCCCAAGCUCUGUAGGCCUUGGGGACUCAGAUACUUUGCAUAUACACAGAUAGACCAAUACAGUUUGACAACCUGAAAGACCUUUGAGUUCAUUUAGUCUGAGCCUUCAUUUUACAGCCAGAACUGACUAACCUAGCAUCACACAGGUGGCAGCACACAGAAUCCAAGUCAGGUGAAAUGAAUGCCAGCACACCAGUCUGGCAGAUAAUAACAUGAACCAUAAAUGAUGAGCUGGGUGCAUGGUGCUUGAAUGCUAAGUUCAGGCAGCUGAGGCGUGAGUGGCUGGGAGAGGGGUAGGUACGGAAGAGAGACAGGAAGCUGGGCAUCAGAAUGGUCUAAUAGAAAGUGACGCACUUUGGCAUUGAAAUGCCAUUGUGUAUCUUUAGACAUCCAGGCUUUUCCAAAGAAAAACAGGGAUGCACAAAUUGGGGAAGCUGACAACUGAACGUGUACAGAUGCUGAGAAAUGUCCACGUUGAAAAAUGACAAUUUUGAAUUUUCAUAGUCUAAUAGAAUGCCAAUCUUCCUUGGGGAAACGGUUAUCCUUAUAUCUGGAGUCGUCUUGUGUAGAAAUUCAUACUUAUGCCUAAAGAUUAAAUGUUGAUAUAACAAAGCUUCAGAAAUUCUGUAGAUGGGCUAUUUACAGAACAUUUCAAUUUUCAAAUACUCCUAUGAUUAUAUCAUUUUCUUUUAUUAAAUGACUAUCAAAG